rnacentral:rRNA from 1 species
GAAACACGGACCAAGAAGUCUUGAAUGCGCGCGAGUCAAAGGGCGGGCUAAACCCCAAGGCGAAACGAAAGUAAAGAAGGUGCUUAAAAAUUUUUUUUUUUUUCGCAGCUAAAUGAGGGGUGAUCCGGUUCGGGGAUGAGGAUGUUUCUUACUCUACGCCACGGUUCGGGGGGUAUUACUUUAAAUAUGUAGUGCGGGGGAAGCGCGGGUGAGGGCAGGCGGCGCCUCCCCGUCGUUAAUGGAGCGUGUCGGAUGGGUGGGACCUUGAGCGUGCAUUGACGGACCCGAAAGAUGGUGAUCUAUGCCUGGCGAGGGUGAAGCCAGAGGAAACUCUGGUGGAGGCCCGCAGCGGUUCUGACGUGC